GGCCAAAUGGUGCAGUUGGUAGCGCUCAUGGUGUUGUUGAGAAAAGCUUCAUCACCUACUCACCGCAGGACCCCCGUUCAACUCGGGGUUCGGUCU